GAUGAACGCUGGCGGCAGGCUUAAUACAUGCAAGUCGAGGGGCAGCGCAGUGUAGCAAUACAUGGGCGGCGACCGGCAAACGGGUGCGGAACACGUACACAACCUUCCUACAAGUGGGGAAUAGCCCAGAGAAAUUUGGAUUAAUACCCCGUAACACAGCGAUGUGGCAUCACAUUGCUAUUAUAGCUUCGGCGCUUGUUGAUGGGUGUGCGGCUGAUUAGAUAGUUGGCGGGGUAACGGCCCACCAAGUCUACGAUCAGUAGCUGAUGUGAGAGCAUGAUCAGCCACACGGGCACUGGGACACGGGCCCGACUCCUACGGGAGGCAGCAGUAAGGAAUAUCGGUCAAUGGACGCAAGUCUGAACCAGCCAUGCCGCGUGAAGGAUUAAGGUCCUCUGGAUUGUAAACUUCUUUUAUCUGGGACGAAAAAAGGCUUUUCUAAGUCACUUGACGGUACCAGAUGAAUAAGCACCGGCUAACUCCGUGCCAGCAGCCGCUGUAACAC
rnacentral:rRNA from 1 species